GUGUCAGCCGCCGCGGUAAGACGAAGGAUUCAAGCGUUGUCCGGAUUUACUGGGUUUAAAGGGUGCGUAGGCGGAAAGCUAAGUCAGUGGUGAAAGCCCGCAGCUCAACUGCGGAACUGCCAUUGAAACUGGCCUUCUUGAAUACAGUGGAGGUAGAUGGAAUAUAACAUGUAGCGGUGAAAUGCUUAGAUAUGUUAUAGAACACCGAUUGCGAAGGCAGUCUGCUACACUGUCAUUGACGCUGAGGCACGAAAGCGUGGGGAGCGAACAGGAUUAGAUACCCUGGUAGUCCACGCCCUAAACGUUGAUUACUCGCUGUUGGCGAUACACUGUCAGCGGCUAAGCGAAAGCGUUAAGUAAUCCACCUGGGAAGUACGUCCGCAAGGAUGAA
rnacentral:rRNA from 1 species